AUUGAACGCUGGCGGCAGGCCUAACACAUGCAAGUCGAGCGGAUGAAGGGAGCUUGCGCCUGGUUUCAGCGUCGGACGCGGGAGUAAUGCCUAUGAAUCUGCCGGGUAUGACUGUGUAACGUCCUGAGACGGGCGCUAAUACCACAGACUAGCUGAGGCAGAAGGUUGGUGGUGGUCGGACCGCACGCGAUCAUAGGAGUGUAGGUGGGAUUAGCUAGCUGGUUGGUUAAAUGCCUACCAAGGCGACGAUCCGUAAAUGGUCUGAUUGGAUGAUCGGCCACAUGGGAACGGAGACGCGGUCCAGACGCCUACGGGAGGCAGCAGAGGGGAACAUUGGACAGUGGGCGAAAGCCUGAUACAGUCAGGCCGAGUGUGUGAAGAAGGUCCUCGGAUUGUAAAGCACUUUAAGUUGUGAGGAAGGGCAGUAAGUUAAUACCUUGCUGUUUUGACGUUACCAACAGAAUAAGCACCGGCUAACUUCGUG
rnacentral:rRNA from 1 species